rnacentral:rRNA from 1 species
GACGAACGCUGGCGGCGUGCUUAACACAUGCAGGUCGAACGGUAAGGCCCUUCGGGGUACACGAGUGGCGAACGGGUGAGUAACACGUGGGUGAACUGCCCUGCACUUCGGGAUAAGCCUGGGAAACUGGGUCUAAUACCGGAUAGGACCACUGCCUGCAUGGGUGGUGGUGGAAAGCUUUUGCGGUGUGGGAUGGGCCCGCGGCCUAUCAGCUUGUUGGUGGGGUGAUGGCCUACCAAGGCGACGACGGGUAGCCGGCCUGAGAGGGUGACCGGCCACACUGGGACUGAGGUACGGCCCAGACUCCUACGGGAGGCAGCAGUGGGGAAUAUUGCACAAUGGGCGCAAGCCUGAUGCAGCGACGCCGCGUGAGGGAUGACGGCCUUCGGGUUGUAAACCUCUUUCAGCAUCGACGAAGCGAAAGUGACGGUAGGUGCAGAAGAAGGACCGGCCAACUACGUGCCAGCAGCCGCAGUAA